rnacentral:rRNA from 1 species
GACGAACGCUGGCGGCGUGCUUAACACAUGCAAGUCGAACGGAAAGGCCCUGCUUUUGUGGGGUGCUCGAGUGGCGAACGGGUGAGUAACACGUGAGUAACCUGCCCUUGACUUUGGGAUAACUUCAGGAAACUGGGGCUAAUACCGGAUAGGAGCUCCUGCUGCAUGGUGGGGGUUGGAAAGUUUCGGCGGUUGGGGAUGGACUCGCGGCUUAUGAGCUUGUUGGUGGGGUAGUGGCUUACCAAGGCUUUGACGGGUAGCCGGCCUGAGAGGGUGACCGGCCACCUUGGGACUGCGAUACGGACCAGUCUCCUACGGGAGGCAGCAGUGGGGAAUCUUGCACAGUGGGCGGAAGCCUGAUGCAGCAACGCCGCGUGCGGGAUGCCGGCCUUCGGGUUGUAAACCGCUUUCGCCUGUGACGAAGCGUGAGUGACGGUAAUGGGUCAAGAAGCACCGGCUAACUACGUG